GCCGGCAUAGCUCAGCGGUUAGAGCAACAGACUCAUAAGCUGUAGGUCGGAGGUUCGAUCCCUCCUGCCGGCA
rnacentral:tRNA from 1 species